UACGUAGGGGGCGAGCGUUGUCCGGAUUCAUUGGGCGUAAAGAGCUCGUAGGCGGUCUGUCGCGUCGGCUGUGAAAUCCCGGGGCUCAACCCCGGGCCUGCAGUCGAUACGGGCAGACUAGAGUGCGGUAGGGGAGACUGGAAUUCCUGGUGUAGCGGUGAAAUGCGCAGAUAUCAGGAGGAACACCGAUGGCGAAGGCAGGUCUCUGGGCAUUAACUGACGCUGAGGAGCGAAAGCAUGGGGAGCGAACAGG
rnacentral:rRNA from 1 species